CUGGAUAUGAGAUUGUGGCCAACUGUGGUCUGGUUGAGAAAACCACUAUGGCAUUUGCAGAACAGUUAAGUCCAUCACAAUAAUAGCUCACCUCGGUAGAUAACCGAGGUGAAAUAGAAAUGCUAUAACAUUCAUCUCAGAUAAAGGUAUUAGGAUUCAGAUCAGUAGACACCCGACCUGAACAUUUCUUGAUUAGCUGAGACCAUCCGGAUAG
rnacentral:lncRNA from 1 species